UACGGAGGGUGCAAACGUUGCUCGGAAUCAUUGGGCGUAAAGCGCACGUAGGCGGACUGUUAAGUCGGAUGUGAAAGCCCUCGGCUUAACCGAGGAAGUGCAUUCGAAACUGGCAGUCUUGAGUACAGAAGAGGGUCGCGGAAUUCCCGGUGUAGAGGUGAAAUUCGUAGAUAUCGGGAGGAACACCAGUGGCGAAGGCGGCGACCUGGGCUGAUACUGACGCUGAGGUGCGAAAGCGUGGGGAGCAAACAGGAUUAGAUACCCCCGUAGUCC
rnacentral:rRNA from 1 species